rnacentral:sRNA from 1 species
AAUCAAAGUAAUAAUCAUUGUUAUCCUGAGAAUGUUUCAUACAUCAGACAUAUUAAAUUCAAUCUCCAAAUUGUUAUGACAUUCUCUACUGUGGAGCUAGUCACGUGCUUCUGUACUUUUCUGUUCUUAAAAGAAUGGUUGGAUUGAUUUUCACUCAAGCAUUUGGUUGUAAGGUAGCAUUAGCAUGUUUCUAAAGUGGAAUACAUACAUCAUAUAAUAGCCAGGGUGGUGAUACAUAUCCAUCAAUAAUUGAAAUCACUAUAAUAGUAGUUGACACUAUCAUACAUUUGCAAUUCUUCUGACAUAACAUCCUCCUAUGUUCUUGAAGAGCACCCCAUCUCUUGGAAUCAGUAUUGUACAUCAAACACGUAUAAUUGAUUUUUGACAAGAGAAAUAGUAACAGCUUGAUUAAAUUGUUUCGUACAAUACAUCCAUCCGGUCCAUGACAUCUUUAAGCAAAACUUCAGUUUCCUGAUAGCAUGAUUUUGUUUCAGGUAGACUUUUCUUUCUUGAAGCUUCUUCAAGCUGUCAUUGAAUCACAAAUGCGCUUCAACAAUUAGUCCAGCCACUAUUAUAGCAUAAUACUAACUGACAAAACAUGUAAUUUUGAAGGGAGGAAAGAGAAAGAGUAUUUACCCUUUCAAAAUUAUCAAACAACUUGUUAGCCAUAUCAUUAAUCGAGGAAGAGGGUGAUCUUCAACCCAGAAACCAUUAUCUUUGGCUGAUGAAAUCUUGUCAUGGAAUGGCCAUGUGAGGACUAGAGUGAAAUCCAACCACUUGUCCUCUUUUUAUGGUAUCGUGUGCAUUUGGAAGGCAUUUCAGGGGAAUUAAGGUUUUGGAGAUUCCAUGCAAGUUUGUGAAAGGAGGCAUGAUCCUUAAGGAGCUCAAAUGAGUGAAGUGUGAAACAGAGAGAUUCUUCAUCAAACCUUGGAAAAACAAAAUCUAUGUUAUAUCACUCAUAUCCGUUGCCAACUGAUAUAUAUCCAAUGUGUGCCAAUAAAAUGGUUAUCCUCAUGAAGGAUUCUAUAGUAAUUUCCUUCUAUCUCAUGUACGUAUGGGUUUUCUGGGCCUGUCGUGUUAUGCUGUAGCCCGAGUUAUUUUUUUCAAAGUUUUCUUUUGGUACCCCAUAAUUACUAACUGC